rnacentral:rRNA from 1 species
UACGAAGGGGGCUAGCGUUGCUCGGAAUCACUGGGCGUAAAGCGCACGUAGGCAGCUUUCUAAGUCAGGGGUGAAAUCCUGGAGCUCAACUCCAGAACUGCCUUUGAUACUGGGGAGCUCGAGUCCGGAAGAGGUGAGUGGAACUCCGAGUGUAGAGGUGAAAUUCGUAGAUAUUCGGAAGAACACCAGUGGCGAAGGCGGCUCACUGGUCCGGUACUGACGCUGAGGUGCGAAAGCGUGGGGAGCAAACAGG